CUUUUGCAACCCUAGCUCAAGCAAUCGUCUCGCCCCUGUUUCUGCAGCGCCUGGUGUAGCUGAGCCUACAGACCCUGAAGCAAGAACUGCUUUACCUUGUCUCAGCUGCUCAAGGAUCUCACAGAGCAAUGCAGAGGAAGUCGUCCAAGCCGGAUCACUGCAUCGUGACAGGGCUGAAUUUACAUCAGACUUUGAAUUCGAAGUCCUCUUCCUGUUCCUGCGGGGUCCUGAUUGUUUGCAAUUUUUAUCUACUUUUGCUUAUCACCCACACCAGGAAACGGUCUGCAGGAGCAAUCGGUCCUGAUCUCCUUAUCCACGGGGUCAGCAUCACAUUAUAAUAGAUUCUCGGUAAUCUGAAAAAAACGGCAAGAUGCUCUUGGAUAAAUGAAACCCCAGUGACAAAGAAUUCCCAUCAUGCUUUUGAAAAUGCUCUGAAGAAAAACCAGCAGGCAGUAGAGUGGGUUCUCUGUGGUUAGCCGACCAUUCCGCUUUGCUGGGUUCUGGCCCAGGGCUCCACAGCCCUGGGAGCGGAGGCUGGAUGUUCUGAAGCCCACGAUGUGAUACCUGACACAGAACAAGCAGAUCCUAGGGGAAAAACACACAGAAAAAGAAGCGCAGCUCACGCUACAGGCAUUUAGAAAGAGGAUGUUCACUCCCUCGAAGAGAUCCUGGCCCAUUCUGGUGAUGCCUACCUCCUAUAAAGGUGUUACUCUACCUUUCUCUGGGCGGCCUGUGCUCACUGGCAAUAGAUGAUAUUCUUAUGCCUUCUCCAAAAUGCCUCGUCUGAGACCAGUCAAAAGAGAUUGACAUUUUGCCUCUACAGAGAGGACUCAGAAACGCGGUCUCAACAGGGUUCCUUCAUCACUGUCCUGCACCUGCCCCGGAAUGCUGGGAUCUUAGAGAGAAAGCUCCACAUCGCCUUCCGGUUCCAAGCUCACAUUCCCACUAGGGCUGUUCAAAAUGCUCAGUUAUGUGGAAGUGUCCUCAGACGUUUCUCUGGAUGCAGCUUUGUCUUUUCAUCUUGCACAAUGCAGCCAGCAUGUUCGCAAAGGCUUCCCUUUCUUCAGGAAUCUCUGUUGGUCCGGAGCCACGUGGAUGGGAGCCCAGGGUAGCAAAUGCAGGCCACUGACGCUGGCUGGCUUAUAAAGAUACUGCCAAAGAAGCAUGUUUACAAUAAUAACUGACAACAUUUUUAAUUGAGAUAAUUUACCAAAUAAUGGGGUUUUUAAGAGUUAUUUUAAAUCAGGAUAGGAGGUGUAUCUCAGGGGCUGUUUUUACCUAGCUUGCUCCAGGUCUUAGGUUUAAUCUCGACACCUGAAAAAAAAAUACAUACAAACAACAUAGGUUUUUAAUUGGCAAAAUGUGGUUUAAAGUGAUUUAAUUGGUAAAAUGUGAUUAAAGUACAGACGUUGGGAUGGGUGCAUAGCUUAGUGGUAGAACCUUUGUCCAGCAUACACUGGAUAAGAUGGAAAGCAUGGAUUAAUAAAAUGAAUAAAUGCAUGUUGACUGUUAUCUUGAAUUUUAAAAAAAAAUAAAUCGUCUUUAAUGAUUUAACAAUGGCGGAAGAAAGCCACUGUUAAAAACAACGGGCUGGAAUCUGGAUGCAGAGGAAGAGCGGCUGCUCACACAGCUGUCUGGAUUCAGUAGCCAUUAACGGGAAGGAGCGGAGGCUUGUGCGUAAACAACCUUGGAAUCACACGCGCUAGACCCUACACCGGCGUCUUUUCCCUGAAGACGCGCAUGCGAUUGCGUCAUUCCGCAGGUUCAAGUUCUUUCUCCACGAGUCAUCAGAGUCAUGGGAUGGAAGAGGCUUUCGAACAUCUGCCCUCCCUUGCUACUGGGUUCCCAUCAGAACCCUUUCCUGCCACACAGCCGUUUAAACUCACUUUGGGUGCGGGUGAAGAGUCGCCAUUUUACUCCACAGUCUCUUCCGAGCUCCUCGGGGGCUACUCGAGGAGCUGUUAGAUUGGUUACAAUCUCUGGUUCAGAUAUGUGUGUGUGUGUGUGUUAAUUUAGAAAAAAAUUACUAGACACUGUCACCAAAAUAAUUUUAUAUUUAAAUUUAUUACCAACUAAUACAGACUUCUAAAAAGUUACUUGAGGAGAGAUUCAAGGAAGACGGAGGCAUCAUCGCGUUUCAGUGGGCUACAUAAAGUCGACACCAAUUAGGCCCUUUUUAAAAAAUAUGAGUAAUCAAGAAAAGCCAGCCAGGCCAGCUAAGCUCUUUGUAUUUUUCUGUUCUUUCCCUACACACAGAACCCUGUGACAUUUUUUAUUGACUACCUAGUAUUACUACAGUAGCUUCAGAUUAUUUUGUUCUUACUGCUAUUUAUGUCUAUGCGCAGGUGGAGGUCGGAGACUCUGCCAUAUGAGGCCCAGGAACGUCCUCAGGUUGUCAGACUUGAUGGUGAAAGCCUUUUCCUGCCAGGUAGUGCUGCCCUCCUCACAUAGCCUUAGAACUGGUUGGGAGGAGGUGAAUAAAAGUUUAAAGCAUAGAUAUCAAGGUUUAAACAGGGUUGCGUGGGAUGGGAACCAUAUGGUUUUAAAGCUCGAUUUCAUUUUAUUAAUUUUAAAAUUUCACCUUAUUGUAUUUUAGUCCUGGGGACGAAACCCAGAGCUUUGUCAAUGCUCAGAUGCGCUCCAUCCCUGAGUGCCACCCAGCCGCCCUUCCCCAGGUGAUUUCAAGGACAGCCACUUACUCACUCCUGGCUUGGGAUUUUCCUGACACCAUUUCUUCUUUAGAAUGCCUGGAAUUGUUACCAUUCUUUGGGAAACACUGGUCACCUGUUCUCAAUUUUGUAUACUAGGUCGGGAUCUACUUAAAAAAAAUAAAUUAAAAACCACACAAAUUUUAUCCCUGCCUGGAAAACAGGAUCUAAGUUCCACAGAUGUCCCAGGGCCCGAGUGCACACUGCGGCACAGCAGAGGUGGUGGUGCCUCUGAGGAGGCGAGUGGCGAUCACACCGCGGUUAUCGGUAGGGAAUGAGCGCGGGACAGUUGAAGACAACCUUUUGGUAAUGUGCCCAAUAGCCAGGACUUGAGCAAAAAAUAAAUUUUAGGAUAAGUCUCUUCUUUAUUAACUGACAUGCUCGGGGUUUGCACUGUUCUCUGGUCCGAAGUGGCUGCUCUUGACCCUGCUGGAGAGGCAGCAAAAUACAGUGAAUUGACACACUAGGCAAGCCCGUUUUAUUUUGGCAGCAUCUGGAAUUCAUUCUUCUUGCUGGGCGACAGAACCACCGGACUGCUCCAUUUUUAUUUUAUUUAUUUUAUUUUAUUGUCUGUGUGUGUGAUUACUGAUAAUUCUCAUCAGCCUUCAGAAUAGGAAGAUAGGUGUGACUCCCCAGCUUUUGUACUAGGUGGAGAGAAAGUGGGGAGAGCUGUGACAGCCUUUUCCACAAACUGACAUGGAAUUCCUGAAGAUAUAGUGAGGAAACGCAAUAUAGAGGUGGGGAAAGCAGUCGGGUCGAAACAGAAAAUCUCUGUGGGUAGUAACUGAAACCUCCAGCCUGUCUCAAGAUUGACUCGAGAUUAAAUAUUAGCACCACUGACUGUUUAAGAUCUUGAAGGAGCUCCCGAGAAAGUGCAAUUUUGCACUUUUCUUUAGAGAAACAAAAACCAAGGGGCUCCUGCGAAGCAAAUGUGUUUCGAAUUAUGCUCACAUGAAUGCGAACCGAUGUUUCUGGGCACGGUGUCUGGUGUGGCGUUUUCGUAUUGCUCGGAGCUGUUUAGGAUUUGACACGGGUGUGUGGGGAGCUUCGUGUCCCCCUUGAAAAUCUAUCACUGUGAGCUGCUCUGAAGACAUUCCAGCCACUGUUUGCCGGUCCUCUCCCGACAGUGCCUGGCACCCUGUGCACAGCAGGAGCUGAGAACCAGUGUCUAGGAUCGGGGAGGUGGCUCAAUGGGUAAAGGCACCUGCUGUCAAGCCUAGUGACCUUAAUUUGAUCCUCCGGAUCAAUGUUGUGGAAGGGGUUGGUCCUCUGUUCACUGUCCCCCUUCCCCUGACCCUGACAAAUAUAGGUUGUUGUCUAUUUGUUUUAAUUUAAUAGUGUGUCUGAAUUGCUAAAGCACCACAUUUGAAGCACUUUCAUGGCUGAAUGUAGAGAAGGGUCCACUUGUAGUGUGUAUAGUUUUCAAAAUUACUUACUAUCAAUAAAUGGAAUCCUGUCUGUCAAAAGUUAAAAUAUCUAUUUGGAAAAAAUAAAAAUUAAGUUC